rnacentral:rRNA from 1 species
UGGGGAAUAUUGGACAAUGGGGGCAACCCUGAUCCAGCCAUGCCGCGUGAGUGAUGAAGGCCUUAGGGUUGUAAAGCUCUUUCGCCGGUGAAGAUAAUGACGGUAACCGGAGAAGAAGCCCCGGCUAACUUCGUGCCAGCAGCCGCGGUAAUACGAAGGGGGCUAGCGUUGUUCGGAAUUACUGGGCGUAAAGCGCACGUAGGCGGACUGUUAAGUCGGGGGUGAAAUCCCAGGGCUCAACCCUGGAACUGCCUCCGAUACUGGCUGUCUUGAGUCCGGGAGAGGUGAGUGGAAUUCCGAGUGUAGAGGUGAAAUUCGUAGAUAUUCGGAAGAACACCAGUGGCGAAGGCGGCUCACUGGCCCGGUACUGACGCUGAGGUGCGAAAGCGUGGGGAGCAAACAGG